GUAGUCAAGUGAUGGGGUGACGCAGAGUGGUAGCUAGGCUUCCUUAUUGGAUUGGAGUGCAAGCGUGUGGCCUGUGGGGUUGGUAAAUCCGCCCCGCAUUAUGGGUGAGGCGUGAUGCGGACACCAUGAUUGUGGUGGUAGUUAGUGUGCCUGUGCUGCCUAGAAAAGCCUC
rnacentral:rRNA from 11 species